AGCGAACGCUGGCGGCAGGCCUAACACAUGCAAGUCGAACGAACCUUUCGGGGUUAGUGGCGGACGGGUGAGUAACACGUGGGAACGUGCCUUUAGGUUCGGAAUAACUCAGGGAAACUUGUGCUAAUACCGAAUGUGCCCUUCGGGGGAAAGAUUUAUCGCCUUUAGAGCGGCCCGCGUCUGAUUAGCUAGUUGGUUGAGGUAAUGGCUCACCAAGGCGACGAUCAGUAGCUGGUCUGAGAGGAUGAUCAGCCACAUUGGGACUGAGACACGGCCCAAACUCCGACGGGAGGCAGCAGUGGGGAAUCUUGCGCAAUGGGCGAAAGCCUGACGCAGCCAUGCCGCGUGAAUGAUGAAGGUCGUAGGAUUGUAAAAUUCUUUCACCGGGGACGAUAAUGACGGUACCCGGAGAAGAAGCCCCGGCUAACUUCGU
rnacentral:rRNA from 1 species